rnacentral:rRNA from 1 species
UACGGAGGGUGCAAGCGUUAAUCGGAUUUACUGGGCGUAAAGCGUCCGUAGGUGGUCUGUUAAGUUGGAUGUGAAAGCCCAGGGCUCAACCUUGGAACUGCAUCCAAAAACUAGCAAACUAGAGUAUGUGAGAGGGAGGUAGAAUUUCUGGUGUAGCGGUGAAAUGCGUAGAGAUCAGAAAGAAUACCGAUGGCGAAGGCAACCUCCUGGCACAAUACUGACGCUGAGGUGCGAAAAGCGUGGGGAGCAAACAGGAUUAGAUACCCCUGUACGCC